rnacentral:rRNA from 1 species
AACGAACGCUGGCGGCAGGCUUAACACAUGCAAGUCGAGCGCCCCGCAAGGGGAGCGGCAGACGGGUGAGUAACGCGUGGGAAUCUACCCAUCUCUACGGAAUAACGCAUGGAAACGUGUGCUAAUACCGUAUACGUCCUUCGGGAGGAAGAUUUAUCGGAGAUGGAUGAGCCCGCGUUGGAUUAGCUAGUUGGUGGGGUAAAGGCCUACCAAGGCGACGAUCCAUAGCUGGUCUGAGAGGAUAAUCAGCCACACUGGGACUGCGACACGGCCCAGACGCCUACGGGAGGCAGCAGUGGGGAAUAUUGGACAAUGGGCGCAAGCCUGAUCCAGCCAUGCCGCGUGAGUGAUGAAGGCCCUAGGGUUGUAAAGCUCUUUCACCGGUGAAGAUAAUGACGGUAACCGGAGAAGAAGCCCCGGCUAACUUCGUGCCAGCCGCCGCUGUAACAC